UACGUAGGGUCCGAGCGUUGUCCGGAAUUAUUGGGCGUAAAGGGCUCGUAGGCGGUCUGUCGCGUCUGCUGUGAAAACUCAGGGCUUAGCCCUGAGCUUGCAGUGGGUACGGGCAGACUAGAGUGCGGUAGGGGAGACUGGAAUUCCUGGUGUAGCGGUGAAAUGCGCAGAUAUCAGGAGGAACACCGGUGGCGAAGGCGGGUCUCUGGGCCGUAACUGACGCUGAGGAGCGAAAGCGUGGGGAGCAAACAGG
rnacentral:rRNA from 1 species